AUCAUGGAUGCCAUUUGGCCGCAGGAAUGCCUCAACAAAACAAGCCAAAAUGUGGACUGAACACGACCUCCGGGAUCGUUGCCAGACUCCGAAAAAUGAUAAUUAAUUCGGAGCGAAUAUUUUUGUAACAAUUGGAAGAUGCAAACUGAAGUGCCUGUACUGCCAAUUGUGGAUUCAAAUGGGCACAAACGCUGUACUAGAAAAACUAAUGGAGAGGGCAGUUUGUCGAUAGAAAGUAAGAAUCAUACGCAAUGCAAGAGUGCUCAGUUUCUCAUAUCGAAUCGCAAGCAUUUGAAUCCCAUACUUGGAGCGCCCUACAAGACUAGCAUGAGGCUUCACUGCGUCUCGGAGCCGACGAGACGACCGCUGAAGAACCCAGUGGGCCAGAGGAUCAUCUCAGCGAAGACUCUGAGGGUCAAGGAGCUGCAGAACCAAUUGACCGAUGCACAUUAUCAUUUGAAUGAACUGGCUAAUGAGAAUAGACUGCUAAAAGCCCUCCAGAAGAGACAGGACUCGGCGCUGAAGAGAUACGAAGGGGCUAACGCUGAAUUACCGAGGAUUAUCAACUCACAUCAUGAGGAAUUGAAGGUUCUGCAGACGAAGUACAAGAGGCUGAGGUCCCAGCACAAACAGGCGUGUGAUUUAAUGAAGGAGAAGGACAAUGAGAUCCACACUUUACAGACACAAAAUAAACAUUUACUGCAGUUGAGUAAAGACAGACACUUGGGGGAACGGGAGAAGCUGCAGGUGCAAGUGUCUGACUUAAAUCACAGGAUAGAACAGCAGCAGGAAACUAUUCAGAAUCUAAACAGGAAAUUAUCAUUAGAGAGUAAAAGCCUGAAGCAUCAGUUACACGUUGAGGCAGCGAAGCAUAAAGAGACCCAGAAGCAGUUGAGCGAGGCCCUGGAUAAAUUAAAGAAUCUGGAGGAGCUGUUGGACAAUAGAGAAAAGAGAUUAUAUCACAGUGGACAAUUACCAGCGUUCAAUAAGCGGAAAGCUUUGACGAGUCAAUCUCUAACGAAUUUGGGCCUCUCCCAUCUGAUAAAAUCUUCCAGUAAAAGUAGACACUCGCAGAGUGAUUUCAAAAACAAAAGUUUGCCAAAGCUCCCAGUGAACGACUCGAGCGACUCGAAGCCCUCGUCCUCGAAAACAGAAGUCCCAGAUCUCCCCAGGACAGAGACAAUGGCGAGUCUGCAGCAGAUCCGCAAAUUCCGUCUCCCAAAAUCCUCACACGAAUCAUCGCGAGCGUUAACCGAUCGUCUCCCCCUAGAAGAAGACCCCGAGAAUGCAAAAAUCCCGCGUAAUCCCACCCUGACACACUCAGUCCCCAGUGACAUGCACAAGUUGUACGACCGUCUGGACUCCCACGAUCUCCCCGACGACGAGAUCAAGCACAUAAUGAACUUGGAGUCCAAGACAACGUAUCAGACAUCCAAGGACCUCCUCAAGGAGUACGGCUACUCCACAGACACUGACAGCGAGAACCUCGAGGAGGAGGAACUCCAGCGGGUCCAGCUGGCGAGGGCCUCCCCCACGACCAAAUCCCGGCGGUUGCACUCACAAUUGAUCAACGGAUCGAUGGAGAGUCAAGAUCACCACCUGGAGGACGCCCCCCACGGCCUGAAAGCCCACCAGCUCGAGAGGAAGUCCUACAGAAGAACUCGACGAGUCUCUGAACGGAAAAACGUGGAGACGAGUUCCGGAAGUGACUCUGAGCCCGAAAAAACCGAAGCACCGGAGUUGUCGAGGGUCAGAAAAAAAGAGGAGUCGAUUCCACCUGCACUAGACAUUGAAAACAGUCAGGAACGACUGCUGAGUAUCACCAAAUCCUGGACAGAUCUUCAGCAGAGGAUAAAACGAGGUCGAGAGUCCUCUGAGGCUCAACUGAACUCCCUGGAGAACUCCCCCGAGACGGAGGACAGCUCCAGGGGGCAAGAGGAGAAGCUGUUGAGGUACUUCGAGAGGGAUGAGGAAGUGGAGCGUGACAUCUACAAAUCUCACGACAAAUCACGUCGUGGAACGUUCGGCCUUGAGCGUUCCCACUUCUCGGACAAUCAAUUAUCCAUGAGGAACGGCUACAACGAGAGUGAUUCCGUGACGAAUGGCGGAAGCUCAACCGGAGAAACACCGGAAGUGGGCAGGAGAAAAAGUAGUGACGGCGUUGUUGAGGCAGACAUCAGUAGUUUCAGGGGGAGAGACCCAGGAAAAUCAAUUCCUGUUGGGAAAAUCGAGGGAGAUUCAGGGGGCGAGAGGGGAAACGAUAAAGUUGGGUUUAAUAAGGAGAAACUGUUGGCUGCCAUGAAGGCCAUCGAUGAUAAUGAGAACAUCGAGUUCCUGACGAAUCAGAAGACCAGUCAGAAGGGUAGCUCGAGUGUCAGGUCUCAGGUGACGGAGAAUUUAUACCGGGGAUUGCCCACACACGCCAGGAAACGGGAUGAUAUUAUUAAAGAUAUUUUUAGUGAUGCUAAGGUGGAUAAUAAACUGCGGAGUGGAUGUACUAUGUCUCCAAGGUUGACAGCUGAUUAAUUUAGCAGGGGUAAUCAAUUUUGAACGACGGUGGGAACACCUCACUGGUUAGAUUUUUCAAAGGGUUGACAGAUCCAUUUUUACGAGCUGUGAAUGACUUAUUGUCUAGUUUCACAACUUUUUAAAAUUCAGGUAUGAUAUUUAUAUGUACAGAGGUGGUAAUUAACCACAGGUUAAUUAUGAUGGUAGAUUUAUGAGGGGUGGCUUUAAUGAAGUCGCCCUGGGACCAUGCGGACACCGAUAACACUAGCGUGGAAUGACGUUUGUCCUAGUGAAAUGGUCCUGUCUUCUAUUUCUCAGUAAUUUUACCUUCGCAUAAUCAACGUUCUGGACGGAUUGUAGACCUUUAUCGAUCUCGAAGAGAAUCGAGGGAUCGUGCUCGAUGUGGAACAUCAC